AUUGAACGCUGGCGGCAGGCCUAACACAUGCAAGUCGAGCGGAUGAAGGGAGCUUGCUCCUGGAUUCAGCGGCGGACGGGUGAGUAAUGCCUAGGAAUCUGCCUGGUAGUGGGGGAUAACGUCCGGAAACGGGCGCUAAUACCGCAUACGUCCUGAGGGAGAAAGUGAGGGAUCUUCGGACCUCACGCUAUCAGAUGAGCCUAGGUCGGAUUAGCUAGUUGGUGGGGUAACGGCCUACCAAGGCGACGAUCCGUAACUGGUCUGAGAGGAUGAUCAGUCACACUGGAACUGAGACACGGUCCAGACUCCUACGGGAGGCAGCAGUGGGGAAUAUUGGACAAUGGGCGAAAGCCUGAUCCAGCCAUGCCGCGUGUGUGAAGAAGGUCUUCGGAUUGUAAAGCACUUUAAGUUGGGAGGAAGGGCAGUAAGUUAAUACCUUGCUGUUUUGACGUUACCAACAGAAUAAGCACCGGCUAACUUCGUG
rnacentral:rRNA from 1 species